rnacentral:ncRNA from 2 species
AGACCCCGUGCGGGAGAGUCCUUUGUCGUUCGCGGCGAGGGCGCCGAAGGAGCAAAUCCUCCCCGGAAUCUCUCAGGCACACGUACCGCGUGGGCGAG